rnacentral:tRNA from 1 species
GCCGAAUUGGUGGAAUUGGCAGACACGCCAGCCUUAGGAGCUGGUGCCCGCGAGGGUGUGUGGGUUCGAGUCCCGCAUUCGGCA